AUGGCGACCGGCGCACGGGUGAGUAACGCGUAUCCAACCUGCCCCUUACUAUGGGACAGCCCGUCGAAAGGCGGAUUAAUACCGUAUGUUGUCAUGUUGAUGCAUAUUUUCAUGACCAAAGGCUUCGGCCGGUAAAGGAUGGGGAUGCGUCUGAUUAGCUUGCCGGCGGGGUAACGGCCCACCGGGGCGACGAUCAGUAGGGGUUCUGAGAGGAAGGUCCCCCACAUUGGAACUGAGACACGGUCCAAACUCCUACGGAAGGCAGCAG
rnacentral:rRNA from 1 species